rnacentral:misc_RNA from 1 species
GAUGAAGAACGUAGCGAAAUGCGAUAAGUAAUGUGAAUUGCAGAAUUCAGUGAAUCAUCGAAUCUUUGAACGCACAUUGCGCCCCUUGGUAUUCCGAGGGGCAUGCCUGUUCGAGCGUCAUUAUAACCCCUCAAGCUCAGCUUGUGUGUUGGGCCUCCGUCCUCCUCCCGGGGGACGGGCCCGAAAGGCAGCGGCGGCACCGCGUCCGGUCCUCGAGCGUAUGGGGCUUCGUCACCCGCUCUUGUAGGCCCGGCCGGCGCUUGCCGACACAUCAAUCUUUUUUCCAGGUUGACCUCGGAUCAGGUAGGGAUACCCGCUGAACUUAAGCAUAUCAAUAAGCGGAGGA